UGUACUUCUGUGGGAUUCUUGCACGU
rnacentral:piRNA from 1 species